rnacentral:rRNA from 1 species
AACGAACGCUGGCGGCAUGCCUAACACAUGCAAGUCGAACGAGACCUUCGGGUCUAGUGGCGCACGGGUGCGUAACGCGUGGGAACCUGCCCUUAGGUUCGGAAUAACUCCCCGAAAGGGGUGCUAAUACCGGAUAAUGUCUUCGGACCAAAGAUUUAUCGCCUUUGGAUGGGCCCGCGUUGGAUUAGCUAGUUGGUAGGGUAAAAGCCUACCAAGGCGACGAUCCAUAGCUGGUCUGAGAGGAUGAUCAGCCACACUGGGACUGAGACACGGCCCAGACUAAGACGGGAAGCAGACGUGGGGAAUAGUGGAGAAUGGGAGAAAGGCUGCACAAGAAAUUCAGAGGGAGUGAUAAAGGCAUCAGGGUAGUAAAGCUCUGUCGCCCGGGAUGAUAAAGAAAGUACAGAGCGAAAAAGCCACGGCUAACUCCGUA